rnacentral:lncRNA from 1 species
AUGCUUGCAUUUCACAGAAUACUCACGAGUCAAACUUCAGGAUACUGUGUGAUGCAGCCAUUCUCACGUUCUUCAUCCAAUGUAAGCAGUUGUUGUAGUGGUUUGAGGGAAAAUGAAACAUCUGAGGAAGAGGAGAAUGACAGGGAGCUGACGUGCUCUCCUGAGGGCCCUCCAAAGCAGGAUUCAUUGGUUAGUAUGUGGCUGGAUGAAAGUGACUGCAAACCCACUACAUCCAGCUCACCAGGAAGCAGGUUGCUUCCUUCCAGCAGUGUUGCUGGCUCCAUCGAAAAAGGAAAAGGCAACAAAGCAAAUGCUCAGCACCAUGGUCCAGGUUCGAGGGACAAGAAGGUGCUUGCAGGGGGAGGUUAA